rnacentral:rRNA from 1 species
GACAGAGGGUGCAAACGUUGCUCGGAAUCAUUGGGCGUAAAGCGCACGUAGGCGGCUUCGCAAGUCGGAUGUGAAAUCCCGUGGCUACAACCAUGGACGUGCAUCCGAAACUGUGAGGCUUGAGUAUGGAAGAGGGUCGCGGAAUUCCCGGUGUAGAGGUGAAAAUUCGUAGAUAUCGGGAGGAACACCAGUGGCGAAGGCGGACGUCUGGCAGAUACUGACGCUGAGGUGCGAAAGCGUGGGGAGCAAACAGG